rnacentral:rRNA from 1 species
UACGUGAGGGACCGAGCGUUGUCCGGAUUCAUUGGGCGUAAAGAGCUCGUAGGCGGCUGUUCAAGUCGAACGUGAAAACGUCGGAGCUACAACCUCCGCCUGCGUUCGAAUACUGGACGGCUAGAGUCUGGUAGGGGGAUCUGGAAUUCCUGGUGUGAGCGGUGGAAUGCGCAGAGUAUCAGGAGGAACACCGGUGGCGAAGGCGGGAUCCUGGGCCAGUACUGACGCUGAGGAGCGAAAGCGUGGGGAGCAAACAGGG